rnacentral:rRNA from 1 species
UAAAAUGAUUUUUAGCAACUUCCUUAUACUUAAUAUUGUUAGAUAAAGUAACCAAUAUAUUAUUGCUUAUAUUAUAGUUACCAUAGGGAUAACAGCGUAAUUUGUUUAGAGAGUUCUUAUUGAAAAACAAGAUUGCGACCUCCAUGUUGGAUUAAAGUAACCUUAAGGUGCAGAAGCUU